UAUGAUUGAUUUUCAAACUCUUGAAAACCUACCAAAUGAUACUGUAAUAAGAUUUUUCAUGGUCUUGUGGUGUAUCUAGAACCAAAGGAAUGAGAAGGUUUGAGAAUACUUCGUUUUCCAACUGCGCAUAUCAAUUGACAAUGCCAUGCAACUUUAGUGACUGGAGAUUCACAACAAAGGGAGCAAAUAACUUUGACAUGCAUCACAUCGUGAUAGUAUUGAAUCCUUGCCAAAAGCCUUGUCAAGGUUUUUACAAAUGCAACGUUGACACUUCCAUUUUUAGGGAUGACAACAAAUAUGGUUCUGGAAUUUGCAUCUGUAAUGACCAGGGGCAUUUUGUUAAGGUUAGAACCAUGCUCUUUAAUGGGACUCCACAACCAUAAGAAGCAAAAGCUUGAGGACUCUACAAAGUCACACAGAGUUUGAGCUAGACUUCUAAGCAGUUGUCGAGGGAGUCAAACAUGUCCCUAAAGGUGCCCUUGAUUUUCAUUGUAUUUUGAAUAAUUGUAGAACCAUCCCUUCUCUUUUACCAAACUCUUUGGUGAGUUUCAGCUAGAGGCAAC
rnacentral:lncRNA from 1 species